UACGAAGGGGGCUAGCGUUGCUCGGAAUCACUGGGCGUAAAGGGCGCGUAGGCGGCCAUUCAAGUCGGGGGUGAAAGCCCGUGGCUCAACCACAGAAUUGCCUUCGAUACUGUUUGGCUUGAGUAUGGCAGAGGUUGGUGGAACUGCGAGUGUAGAGGUGAAAUUCGUAGAUAUCGGGAGGAACACCAGUGGCGAAGGCGGCGACCUGGGCCAAUAUUGACGCUGAGGUGCGAAAGCGUGGGGAGCAAACAGG
rnacentral:rRNA from 1 species